ACUUGCACUUACGGAUGUAGCGACCGACUGUAGUUACUGACAGUGGUUUUCUGAAGUGUUCCUGAGCCCAUAAUACACCUGCUGUGAUCCUGUUUUUAUGUUUUUAUUAAUUCUAUUUUAAUUAUUUAUUUUUUAUCGUGUUCUGUUUGUGUUGUGUUGUGUUUGCUCGGUACUCGUUUUAUCUUUUAACCUGUUCAUUGUACAGCACUUUGGCUACCCCUGUGGUAAAUUUUAAAUGUGCUUUAUAAAUAAAGUUGAUUUGAUUUGAUUUGAUGUGGUGAUAUCCUUUACACACCGAUGUGGCUUUUUUGAUGCAGUACCGUCUGAGGGAUCCAAGGUGCGUAAUAUCAUGGCUUACGAUUUCAUCCAGAUUGUCUGAACCUUUUGAUGAUAUUACAGAGCGUGGAUGGCGAAAUCUUUCAAUUCCUUGCAACAGCUUGGUUGAGAAAUGUUGUUCUUAAACAAUUUGCUCACGCAUUUGUUGACAAAGUGGUGACCCUCGCAACUUAUUUUGCUCCAAAACCUGUAUGUACCUUUCAGCAUUAAUGGUGCCUUCACAGAUGUGUAAGUUACCCAUGUCUUGGGCACUAAUACACCCCCAUACCAUCACACAUGCUGGCCUUUUACACUUUGCACCUAGAACAAUCCGGAUGGUUCUUUUCCUCUUUGGUCCGGAGGUUUCCAAAAACAAUACGAAAUGUGGACUCGUCACUUUUCCACUUUGCAUCAGUCCAUUUUAGAUGAGCUCGGGUUCAAACGAAGCCGGUAGCGUCUCCGGGUGUUGUUGAUAAAUGGCUUUGGCUUUGCAUAGUAGAGUUUUAACUUGCACUUACGGAUGUAGCGACCGACUGUAGUUACUGACAGUGGUUUUUCUGAAGUGUUCCUGAGCCCAUGUGGUGAUAUCCUUUACACACCGAUGUGGCUUUUUCAUGCAGUACCGUCUGAGGGAUCCAAGGUGCGUAAUAUCAUGGCUUACGAUUUCAUCCAGAUUGUCUGAACCUUUCGAUGAUAUUACAGAGCGUGGAUGGUGAAAUCUUUCAAUUCCUUGCAACAGCUUGGUUGAGAAAUGUUGUUCUUAAACAAUUUGGUAUUUGUAACACUUCUCCUCGUCUUGUUUGCCAGAGCCUUCUAGAAGCAGGUGCAGCAGCAAAGAGGCGGACCAAGCGUCCUCCUGGCUGAGGAGGGUGUUGGAGGACGUCACCUCCUUGUUCUUCCACCGACACAGCGUGAACUUCAGCACGGUGUUCUACAUCUACGUGGUGUUGUGAGGUGUUGCUGCUGCUGCUGGUGUCUGCUUACAUGGUCUUCAGGAUGAUGGCGCUGGAGGAGCAGCUGAAGUUUCUAGGAGCGCUGGCAGAGUUUCCCCCGCGCCACACCGACGCAAAAGAAACUUAGCGGCGGGGAGACAACCACCUUC